CACCCUUGGCAGCUCAAAGAUGAGGGUGACAGGAGAGCACAGAAAUGUGCGCAGGUAAUGCUCCGUGAGCCUAGGGUUUAGAAUAACCCGAGGAGUGGACUCAAGGGGAAGCAUGUGGUUAUCACGCUUUGGUUGAAAAUCUGACAGGCAUGGAUUAAAAUCUAAAACGUGUGCACAUCUAUCAUGGUGUAGUACAGGUUAAUAGGUGCCUCCGCAACAUGGGUAGUUGGAACAUAAGAGGUGAAUGGCACAGUUAAAGGAGGCUGUACAUAGCCGGUUGUUCUGCGGAAAUAUAUUUACCCCAUACCUAUCUUUUUUUUUCAUGUGUAUUAUUCAGCACUCCUGCUCAAUUGGGCGUUAUGCUGCCUACCUCUGCUGGAUUUCAGCCGGCCCUCUCACUGUCCUGCCCUACAGUUUGCUUUGCAGCGCUUUCUCUCUGCUGGGCCCCAGGCUGUGUCCUAGUUUGUUGGCUCUGAGUGGUUGAGCCCCUCCUUGCUACCUCUUACCCCAUGGGUUAGGUUUUAGGCACUAGUAG